ensembl:lncRNA
AUGAGAUCUGUGGAUGGGAACAUGUCUCCAGUCGAGGUGUUGAUGAAGGAAAUUCAGAAAUGCUCACACAAAUGGAGCAAGCGGACACAUGAAUCCACGUCGCCCUGGCCUUCAGAGGGGACAUUUGAUCUGAGGCAGUGUGCAGAGAUGCAGGGUUUUAUAAAAACCUAUAAGAUAAAAGACAAAUCUGUAAAGCGAGGCCUUAAACGGGAAAAAGAAAAUGCAGUGUUGCAAUUGUUUAUUAACUGUGCAAAAAUGAUGGGCAAAAAGACGACUCAAUGUGGUGAUAAUCAAUUUAAUCAGAUCUCUAAAACUAAGUCUCUUUCAGAUGCAUCCCAGAUGAAUGCAGAAGAAACAAACCCAUUAUGGACAAAGAAGCCAGUUCACCCUGUAGCUGAUCUAGAAGGGACAGACAGGGCAGUGAAAAGGGAUGAGUUGUUAGAACUGCCCGACAUUUAUUUAAACACAGAGAAAAUCUCAAUUGGAAAUUCCUGCAGUGAAAGUGAUCUGCGUGACAGAGCAGUUGGAUCACUGUGGGCUGAGUCAGAUGAGGAAUCGGUGUGUGUGGGUGACGAACGGGUAAAUGAGGUUUCUGAUGGACUUCCUCUGCUGAUCAAAAGGGCAAAGUGUCAAAAUCUGCCCUGGCCUUCAAGACCGGAUCAGAAUGAUCUGACUGACACUGUGGGACUCUGCAACUUGUCACUAGAACAAAUAACUGAGCAUGUGAUUCAUGCUGUUGAGCUGCGUCAGAAGCAGGAAAAGGAGGCAGUGAAAGAAGCAACACGCCAGCAGCAGCGAACAGAGGGGGAGAAAAGAGAGAGGAGGAUGGUGUCUGCUCAACCAGCCAGCGUGCCUCAGACCCCACCUACACCACCAGGCAUGGCCACACCUCAGGUGAUGUACAUUCUACCAGGAGGGUGGACAAGACGACCUCCUAUGAGGAGAGGAGGGUUCCCUGCAGACAAAGGCAGAGGAACAGGAGGCAGCCACAGAGGAGGCGUGAGAUGCUACUGCUGUGGGAAGACUGGUCACGUAAGAAGCCAUUGCUUUGAUUGGCUACGAGGCUCACGAGGAGUGCCCAGACCAAAGGGGUCCGCUGAUCAAUGUGGAGGCCCCUCAGCUGGUUACGAGAGAGGACCAGACACCUGCAGGAUUCAUGAACUUUGUUGA